AAACCAACAGGGAUUACCUUAGUAACGGCGAGUGAAGCGGUAAGAGCUCAAAUUUGAAAUCUGGCGCUUUAAAACGUGUCCGAGUUGUAAUUUGAAGAUGGUAACUUUGGCUUUGGCCCUUGCCUAUGUUCCUUGGAACAGGACGUCACAGAGGGUGAGAAUCCCGUGCGGCGAGGUGAUCCAUUGCUUUGUAAAGUGCUAUCGAAGAGUCGAGUUGUUUGGGAAUGCAGCUCUAAGUGGGUGGUAAAUUCCAUCUAAAGCUAAAUAUUGACGAGAGACCGAUAGCGAACAAGUACAGUGAUGGAAAGAUGAAAAGAACUUUGAAAAGAGAGUGAAAUAGUACGUGAAAUUGUUGAAAGGGAAGGGCAUUAGAUCAGACUUUGAAUUUAGUGAUCAACUUGCCUUUUUGGCUGGUGCACUCGCUACUUUCUAGGUCAACAUCAGUUUGAAUGGCAGGAUAAUGGUGAAGGAAUGUGGCUCUCCUCUUUGAGGCGAGUGUUAUAGCCUUUACUGAUACUGCCUGUUUGGACUGAGGAACGCGGUUUAUACCAAGGAUGUUGACAUAAUGAUCUUAUGCCGC
rnacentral:rRNA from 1 species